rnacentral:lncRNA from 1 species
AACCUUGUUGCUAGGGACCGGGCGGUUUGCGGCAACCGUGGGCACUGCUGAAUUUGAAUUGAGGGGCGAGGGAAAAGUUUUCCUCAGGUGUGGUGGGGAGAGGGAGGCGGAUGCCGGGAAACCGUAGGGACGCGGUCAGAAAGGCGACGGGCUGUCGGAGUUGGAAAGGGACGCCUGGUUUCCCCCCAAGCGAACCGGGAUGGGAAGUGACUUCAAUGAGAUUGAACUUCAGCUGGAUUGAAAGAGAGGCUAGAAGUUCCGCUUGCCAGCAGCCUCCUUAGUAGAGCGGAAUGAGUAAUACCCACACGGUGCUUGUCUCACUUCCCCAUCCGCACCCGGCCCUCACCUGCUGUCACCUCGGCCUCCCACACCCGGUCCGCGCUCCCCGCCCUCUUCCUCGCGUAGAACCGUGGGAUCCUAGGUGGCAGGACUCAGAGCUAAGGUAUCCACAGGCCAUGAAUUCCUUCCUAAAUGAGCGGUCAUCGCCGUGCAGGACCUUAAGGCAAGAAGCAUCGGCUGACAGAUGUGAUCUCUGAACCUGAUAGAUUGCUGAUUUUAUCUUAUUUUAUCCUUGACUUGGUACAAGUUUUGGGAUUUCUGAAAAGACCAUACAGAUAACCACAAAUAUCAAGAAAGUCGUCUUCAGUAUUAAGUAGAAUUUAGAUUUAGGUUUCCUUCCUGCUUCCCACCUCCUUCGAAUAAGGAAACGUCUUUGGGACCAACUUUAUGGAAUAAAUAAGCUGAGCUGUAUUUCAAGUAAUAUAGUUAUAAAUUAACAAUGUAGCAGUUAUUGAUAGAGAAAUUGAGAAAACUGAAACGUGACCGGAGUAUUGGAAAUAACGUAGUACAUCACCUAGCACAAUGACACAUAGUAGGUGCUCAAUAAAUUUAUGCUUAUAAUUUUU